GAAGAGUCCAGCGCCGAAUCCCCGCUUUCCGAAAGGUGGCGGGGAAAUGUGGCGUAUGGGAGACCGCGUGCCGUCGGCGACGUCCCCGGAGCAAGUCCCCUUGAUCGGGGCGAGCUCAUGCGACCGGAGCGGGUGCAAGUCCCGUAGCCCGGGGUUAAUAACUGUCCGGCGGAGUGCGGUCUCUCUCGAGUCGGGUUGCUUGAGAGUGCAGCCCUAAGAAAGGUGGUAAACUCCAUCUAAGACUAAAUACUGCCUCGAGACCGAUAGCGAACAAGUACCGUGAGGGAAAGUUGCAAAGAACUUUGAAGAGAGAGUUCAAGAGUACGUGAAACUGUUCAGAGGAAAACGGGUGGGCGUUCGAAGCCCCCGUCGGCAGUCUUUUCGGAUUCAGUCCGCACCGCGGUCGGUAUGCACGUCCGAGCGUCCGUCACUUCGCCUCGCCCUCGUAGGCCCGGCGGCUGCGGUUCGCUCGUUCGUUCGCGUCCUUCCGCGGACGGACGCAUUUCCGGAGUUGCCGUUGAAGGGCGCCGCGACCGAUCGGGCACCAAAGAGUGCGGAGAGCUGGCCGGGACUUGUGCGGUUCGGGAGACUGCUCGCUUCGCGUUGGGAGUUCUCUCCCUCGCGGGCGUCUGUCGCUCCCCCGACUUCCACGGCAAAUUUUCAAACAGCUUUCUGUCGUCCGAUCGGCUGGUCCUCGAGACCUAAGGCAGAGGUGCUCUCUCCUCGGGCCACGGUGUCGUUCCGUGCUCGGCUUACCUGCCGGUCGCGCCUCGUGCGCGGCUUCGGUGGUUUCCGGGCGGACGGCUUUCCGGGUCUUCUUAAAGAGGAGAGCAGANNNNNNNNNNNNNNNNNNNNNNNNNNNNNNNNNNNNNNNNNNNNNNNNNNNNNNNNNNNNNNNNNNNNNNGACCAAGGAGUCUAACCCGUGCGCGAGUCGCAGGGUCUUGUUCAGGCCCCGUGGCGGAGCGAAAGCGAAGCCGAGACGCGGCCCCCUAAUUUCUGGGGGUGCGCGGCAUCGGCGGCCCGGCGGAACGGACGGUAGGUCCGGGGACUCGUCGUACCGCUUCGCGGCGUGCGGCGCUACCCGAGUCCUCCGUCUCGCGUCGGAGUCUGAGCGUACGAGUCGGUACCCGAAAGAUGGUGAACUAUGCCUGGCCAGGGCGAAGCCGGAGGAAACUCCGGUGGAGGCCCGAAGCGGUUCUGACGUGCAAAUCGAUCGUCGGAGCGGAGUAUAGGGGCGAAAGACUAAUCGAACCAUCUAGUAGCUGGUUCCCUCCGAAGUUUCCCUCAGGAUAGCUGGCAUUCGAGGAAACUCAGUCUCUCCUCGUAGAGAGAAUGAAUAGAGGCCCUGGGGCCCUAGACGACCUCAACCUAUUAUCAAACUACUACGAGGUGCGUCGUCGGUUCCUGCCGGAUAGAGGAACCGGCUUUUAAGAAAUGGAAAGAUGUGUGAGUGCCGUGUGGGCCAUUUUUG
rnacentral:rRNA from 1 species